rnacentral:tRNA from 1 species
AGGGAUAUAGUUCAGUAGUAGAACUCUUGCCUAGCAAACACAAGGUCUGGGUUCGUGUCCCAGUAACACAA